AACAAAAUGAGUAUUUCUCAACUUAUGAUAAUCUACACAUUCUGUUUUUCUGCAUUUCUUUUGACAUAUUCAGCAUCAACCAGUACCCAAACACCAGAUAUCUCUGAACUCAAAAACUCGACGAAAUGUUCUCAGGGUUCAAAUUUAAACAACAAAGACGAUAGAAAUAACUUCCCGUGCCCUGAAAAUACCAGACAUCUGGGUUGGAUUGUGGCAGUAAUUUUUGGUGGCAUAGUAGCUCUCUUCAUAAUUGUAAUAAGUAUGAAAAGAUUAAUUUGCGGGGGACUAUCACAUCCAGG